CCCAUUCAAAAAUAUUGCGAUUUUUACUAUGAGAUUUAGUAAAUUUUACUAUGAGAUUAGUAAAUUUUACUAUGAGAUGUAAAAAACCUUCGAAACCUGGAGGUUGUACCACUUCAUUUGUCGUAUGUACAAAGUGUAGGAAAGUGAUAUUGAUAUAAAAAUGCAGUUUUUCAAAAACGUUUUUAUGUUCGCUAUGUGCUUGCUUGUUGGAGCUGUUUUGUUUGUUAAUGCUGUUCCUGGAGGUAGUAAUCCAGGAGUACAUCCAAUUCCACCACCAAAACCAAAACCACCUAAGCCACAUGGAAAAUGAGGAGAAAAAUAUCACGAAUAUCGAGUCGCACUGUUUCAGUUACUUUUCUUUUCUGUAUUAUCAUCAUACGCAUUAUACGCACCAUAGAUCAUUUUUAUGUCAACUGCACUUCAUUUUCAUCGUACAAUCUACGGAACAGUUAUAUUUAUGUAACUUUUAUUUUUAAAUAUUUUUAAUGUUCAGAAAAAUAAAUCGAAUUUAUUCGCUCAGAUUAAAAAAUAAAUAUGGUUUCAGACAUA